AAAGAAAGAAAGAAAGAAAGAAAGAAAGAAAGAAAGAAAGAAAGAAAGAAACCUCCAGUGAAUGAGAGACCACCACUUUCCAAGAUUCUAUUCUGUCACAUCAGCUUUACAAGCCUUUUGCAAAGGGACAAGAUGAUCCUGGGCAGCAGAAAACUCCUUUGUUUCCUGUUGUGCGAUCCUAAGCAAAAGAAAAUAUAUAUUUCAGUGUGGGGCUUAAGUCUACAUAGAGAUGGCAUUAAAGCAGACGUUCCAGAGCCACAUCAAAUAUUGGAGAUUGAAAGCCAAGAACACAUCUAAUGCUGCUCAAAAUCUGGGAGGAGAGCACAUUUAUGUAUCAAGGAACUAUUGUCAUAUCCAAAGAGGUUAUGAGCCGAUAUGAAGCCCGCUCUGUGCCUGCAACCCUUUGCUACAAUGCUUCAUAUUCAAGGUUUUGCAAGUGGAUGCUCAGUUUGCGAACGUGAUCUGUGCGGGAUGCACAUUUGCAACCCGCAUCGUCCGCAACCCGCAGCAGCAUGUCUGCAUACACGCGGGUUGCAAUUCAGCGCUUGUGCGCAUGCGCAAAGUGUGAUUUAGUGCUUCUGCGCAUGUGCAACCGCCGAAACCCGUUCUAGUACUUCCAGGUUUCGGCGGUCCGCAACCCAAAAAAACGCAACCUGAACUGUCUGUAACCUGAGGUAUGACUGUAGACCACGUUUGUGAACCUCCGGAGCAUAUUGGACCACCAAAGCAGACUGAUAUUUUCCUACUCAAGAGAAUGAGGACAAACAUAUGAAACACCUUAUACUGCGGCUGCAUUCACAUUGCAGCUUAUUCCAUUUGUCUGAUGUUUCCCAAACUGUUAAUUUACAUCUAAUAUUUGAGCUUGCA